rnacentral:rRNA from 1 species
UACGUAGGGUGCAAGCGUUUAAUCGGAAUUACUGGGCGUAAAGCGUGCGCAGGCGGUUAUAUAAGACAGUUGUGAAAUCCCCGGGCUCAACCUGGGAACUGCAUCUGUGACUGUAUAGCUAGAGUACGGUAGAGGGGGAUGGAAUUCCGCGUGUAGCAGUGAAAUGCGUAGAUAUGCGGAGGAACACCGAUGGCGAAGGCAAUCCCCUGGACCUGUACUGACGCUCAUGCACGAAAAGCGUGGGGAGCAAACAGG